rnacentral:rRNA from 1 species
GGCCUAAGAAUGCAAGUCGAACGGUAACGACACUAGCUUGCUAGUGGUCGACGAGUGGCGGACGGGUGAGUAACGCGUAGGAAUCUACCUAGUAGUGGGGGAUAGCCAAGGGAAACUUUGGGUAAUACCGCAUACGAUCUAAGGAUGAAAGGGGGCCUCUCUUUGAAGCUCUCGCUAUUAGAUGAGCCUGCGUAAGAUUAGCUUGUUGGUGGGGUAAUGGCUCACCAAGGCGACGAUCUUCAGCUGGUCUGAGAGGAUGAUCAGUCACACUGGAACUGAGACACGGUCCAGACUCCUACGGGAGGCAGCAGUCGGGAAUAUUGGACAAUGGGGGAAACCCUGAUCCAGCCAUGCCGCGUGUGUGAAGAAGGCCCUAGGGUUGUAAAGCACUUUUAGUAGUGAGGAAGGCUCGGUAGUUAAUACCUACCGGGAUUGACGUUAGCUACAGAAAAAGCACCGGCUAAUUUCGUGCCAGCAGCCGCGGUAAUACGAAAGGUGCAAGCGUUAAUCGGAAUUACUGGGCGUAAAGCGCGCGUAGGCGGCUUGGUAAGUUGGAUGUGAAAGCCCCGGGCUCAACCUGGGAACUGCAUCCAAAACUGCCUAGCUAGAGUAUGGUAGAGGAUGGCGGAAUUUCCUGUGUAGCGGUGAAAUGCGUGGAUAUAGGAAGGAACAUCAGUGGCGAAGGCGGCCAUCUGGACCAAUACUGACGCUGAGGUGCGAAAGCGUGNGGAGCAAACAGGAUUAGAUACCCUGGUAGUCCACGCCGUACACGAUGAGAACUAGCCGUUGGACAUCUUGCAUGUUUAGUGGCGCAGCUAACGCGAUAAGUUCU